CCUGAGAAGUUGGGCUCCGACCAGAAGCUAUACUGCCAACACUGUGAAGUGAGGCAAGACUCGGUGAAGCAGAUGUCCAUCCGAAAGCUUCCAUAUGUCCUGUGCUUCCACGUCAAAAGAUUUGAGCAUUCCUUGAUCAGAAGAACAUCAAAAAAGAUAGACCAGAAUUUGCAAUUCCCCUUUUCGCUCGACAUGAUGCCAUACCUAUCUUCAUCCAUCAUAAGGAACAGGUUUGGCAAUAGGAUCUUUGCUUUUGAAGGUGAUGAAUCGGACAUGUCGAGUGAAUUUUCUUCCGAGUUUGAGGUGUUUGCUGUCAUCACCCAUAGCGGAAGGUUGGAAUCAGGCCAUUAUGUCACUUAUCUUCGGCUAAGAGACCAAUGGUAUAAGUGUGAUGAUGCUUGGAUCACCCAAGUGACCGAAGGUGUAGUGCGAGCUUCACAGGUCUACAUGAUGUAUUAUUUGCAGAAGCAUGGGAAGUGAACUAUUUCUUAUCGCUUCAUGUUAUGGGGGAUGACCUAACGGCCGUGCCCAUGAGAACCACGCUCUCCUGGUUGCUUGCAAAGAAGAACAGUAGAAAUAACUGAUUGAAGACCUCUGCUAAGAGAAGGUGAUGACAUGAAUAUAAAGAGAAAAUGUAGUCCUUUGGUUACCAAUUGAUGAUUCUUUGAUUGCUGAAGUAUGAUGCCAUCUACUCUGUACCCCAAAAAAAGGCUUCAUAUUUUAUAACAAUUCUUUCAUCACUUUUGCUUUGCAUUCUUCGGUUCAGAUUCAGGGUUAGCAUGUUCUACGGUGGAACUGUAUCAGAAGCAUGACAGGAAAACAGUCUUAAGUAUCACUAUGAUCAUCUUAAAAUUGAGACCUAUGCCAUAGUUGUCUGUUUAUGGGAUUUUGCUGUGGUAAUUAAUAUAUAUUGCACAGAUGGUAAGCGAUGUCCAAGGUUGGUAGACUGGUUUGCUUGAGAAUGGUCACUUAAGAGUCCCUUGUUCCUGUCAGCCAGCUUCCCCUUGUGGAGAACGCUCGGAUUGUUAGCUACGGCAGCAGACUGGUUGCUUCAGAAAGCAUCGAAGAACGUUUUUGCCACCAAGAAGGCUCUUAUUAUUGGUUUGGACUAAACAAUAAUGAUUCAUUAAAUCCUAUCAU
rnacentral:lncRNA from 1 species